GCUCUGGAAGUGAAGCCCACAGACCGACGCUGCUUGGCUCCCUGGAUUCAGCCUCCUUCCUAGGGAGUGACCAAUCUGAGAAACCCAGGAGCUGUGCUCCUCCGAGAAAAAGAGAAGCUGAAGAGCCCUCACUGACAUCCAAGGCACAUGGACAUACCACAGUACAGGUCCCUGCUGAAAACACAGAAAAUGCAGAAGAAUCCCCGGAACACAAGUGACCACCAGAGCGCUGUACUGCACUUUUUCUAGCCCUGCACCAAGACAGAGGCUUAAUUUAGUCCAGAGAUUCAGAAGGGAAAUCCAGAAUAAGCUAAACCUAAUGGAGUGAAAAAAGAGAACAUUCUCAUCUCUUUAGCUUUGGCAAGAUGCCAGACAACCUGUGCCAAUAUCCCAGAAUCCAUCACCUGUCGAGCUUUUACUAGAAACAUCAGGUUUCCCACAUCCUGGGGUACAAAAUUCAUCCUCAAUGCUGGUUACCUGCCCCAUGCAGAUGCUGGCAUUUAAAAUG